AUGUGGCUGGCUGGCUGGCUGGCUGGCUGAAAAGUUGCCGAGCGGCGAGCAGUGAACAUGGAGCGCUUUGGGCCGACGCAAUCGGCUACGACAAACAUUUUGGCCAAGCUCCCCAGCAUCACACAUUUAACCCCUUCCACAACUUAAUGACUUUGGGCCAUCUGACGCGGUGUUGUAAGUGCUCGGCGCCAAAAUGUGGCUGCGGUUCAAGAUCCGAGAUUCGGAAUUCGAGAUCGGAGAUCUGAGAUCUGAGUUCCGAGAUCCAAAGCUGACACCCAGCUGAGAUCAUGGAAAUGAGACUUGUGGAGCUAAGUAAAUAUUUGAACUUUCGGGCUGGCAGCGGUUUUUGGGUGCGCUAUAAAGUUGCAUGUCUACGUAUUGUGACACCUUCAAAUAUACCGAAUAAAUAAACAAAUUCUUCAGCGAUUAAGUCAUUUGAU
ensembl:ncRNA lncRNA:CR44225 long non-coding RNA:CR44225